rnacentral:rRNA from 1 species
UACGAAGGGGGCUAGCGUUGUUCGGAAUUACUGGGCGUAAAGCGUGCGCAGGCGGCCAUUCAAGUCAGGGGUGAAAGCCCAGAGCUCAACUCUGGAACUGCCUUUGAAACUGUAUGGCUUGAGUAUGAGAGAGGUGAGUGGAAUUCCCAGUGUAGAGGUGAAAUUCGUAGAUAUUGGGAAGAACACCGGUGGCGAAGGCGGCUCACUGGCUCAUAACUGACGCUCAUGCACGACAGCGUGGGGAU